rnacentral:rRNA from 1 species
AUUGAACGCUGGCGGCAGGCUUAACACAUGCAAGUCGAACGAUGUAGCAAUACAUAGUGGCGCACGGGUGAGUAACGCGUGGGAACAUGCCCUUCAGUACGGAAUAACGUCGGGAAACUGACGCUAAUACCGUAUAUUCCCUCCGGGGGAAAGAUUUAUCGCUGAAGGAUUGGCCCGCGUUAGAGUAGGUAGUUGGGGAGGUAAUGGCCUACCAAGCCUACGAUCGAUAGCUGGUCUGAGAGGACGACCAGCCACACUGGAACUGAGACACGGUCCAGACUCCUACGGGGGGCAGCAGUGGGGAAUAUUGGACAAUGGGGGAAACCCUGAUCCAGCCAUGCCGCGUGACUGAUGAAGGCCUUAGGGUUGGAAAGUUCUUUUGUCAGGGAAGAUGAUGACGGUACCUGAAGAAUAAGCACCGGCUAACUUCGUGCCAGCCGCCGCGGUAACAC